AUAACUGCUUGACAUGGGUAGGUCAGCACCCUAGAACUGCUUGACAUGGGUAGUUCGGCGCCCCAGAAUGGCCAGACAUGGUAGGUCGACACCCCAGAAUGAUCAGACAGGGUAGGUCGUGCAACCAAGAAUUGUCCGACAGUAUGUAUGUUAUCACUACAAAUAAAAUUACAUUUAGUGGCACAAUAUUUUAGUGGCAUAUUAUAUUGUGUGCCACUAUAAUUAGUGUUUAGUUGCACAUUUUGUUUUGUCCCACCAUAUCUAAUUGAAAAUUCUAAUUUUAAGUUGGCGCUACUAAUUCCCUCCUAACACUCAAAACUUAAAAGAAUCACACUUUGUAUAUUUGCCCUAAUCAGACGCCAAAGUAACAAAGACGACUUCUCACUUUUCUCGCUUCCACUCCUCCGCUCCUACGUGACAACCAACGCAUCCCCACAUCAGACUUGUGACCACCAUAUCAGAGCGACGAUGUAGCCUCGCAUCCAACCGAUACAAUCUUCCCCUGGAGGCAGUACGAUUUCCACACAGACUUUCGAUUUCAUUGAUUUCCUUUUGCUUUGAAAACAUUCAAGUUUGGACUAGUCACGUUCGUUUCAUUUUGAAACAAUAUCGUCGAUUUAUUAGUUUUGAAUUUGUUAUUUUGUUAAAUUGAUUUUAAUAUAAUAGUCAAACUUGUAAUUAUUGGGUAAUUUGACAUUUUUCAUUCUAGGAACUUUAGGUUGUCAAGGGGACGAGGGUAUAUGUUUAUGGAUUUUGUCCAAUGCACUAAUGGUCACCUAUGACCACUGAUGCAAGAGUUAUAUUCCAAAAGAUGAAUCAAGGUGAAUACGAUUUCAUAAUUUAUACUUUGUGCUUUACAUUUGUACUUUUCAAGGUGAUGUUUAUGUGGGUUUGUAUUAGGCACACCAGGUGUUCGACAUAUUGUCCAUUGGAAAACUUCAACUACACCAGAAUGGCCAAAUAUCAAAAUGAAGAAUGAAGUGGAGUAUGUUGAAAUUUCUUUAUAGAUAACAAGGGUGGGUCCAUUGACUCCUUUUCACUCUGCAUUGAUUUGCCCUUGGAUUUGAGUUUUUUUUUGGAUAUCAGAAAAUCGGAAGGGUAUGUAGCAUGAAUAAAAGUGGGAUGAAGGUGGGUAAGUUCUCAAACAAAGCUUGACAAUGUACACAUUUACAUUGCACUACACACAAUUGCAAUUGUCUGUAUGUUUCUUGCAGGCAAGGUUGAAACACUCCUCAUCCUUUGAAAGACGAUGUUAUCCUUGUUUCUUAUGAGAUUAGUAAUAAAAAGGAUCUUGAGGCAAUAAAAAGAAUCAAACAGAAGGUACAAUCAUUUCAUUUAAGCUAAGCUGCCUUUUAAACUUUUCAAGAGUUUAAGUUUGUAUAUUUAUUCUAUCCUUACAUGUGUUUUAUAAAUUUAUUCAAAUGGGGAAUCUUUUUAUAAAUUUUGACUAUGUAAUAAACAAGUUGUUUAGGGGCAGAAUGAUGGUCACGAUGGUAUGUAUCAUUUAUUAUGACUUUUGGAAACAUUAUAUUAAAAAUAUUAGUUAAUGAUGUUACAUUUUACAUUACAUGUGUUUUGCAGGUAUGAGAGUUGACGACAAAAUGAGACUUGCCAAUCCACCAUCAACGAGGUAUGUGAAAGGUUAAAUAAAUUAUAUUUUAUUUUUUGAAUAAUUUGAACAUUGAUGUAAUUACAUAUAAAAUUAAUGAUUAUUUUAGUAUUACAUUACAUAUUUGUGACAAUAUUACUCUUUAUUUGUUUCAGGGUCGAUCAAGUUUCGUGUUUGUUCCCCUCAAGUCGAUAGUAUUGUGUUUUGUGUAUUAGCACAACAUUUGGAAUUAUUGAAUUUUUUAUAGACAUUUGUGUUCUAGAUAUUAAGAAUAUUGUUGUUAGACAAGUUUUAAUUGAAAUAAUGAUAUUAUGUGUUCC
rnacentral:lncRNA from 1 species